rnacentral:misc_RNA from 1 species
CAAAAAUGUCAGGGAAUAGCGGUGGAGAUUUACGCGUCUUACCUGAAGGCUGCGUAGCAAACGUUCUGUCGCUUACGGGUCCUCUGGAUGCGGGCAGAUUGUCUACGNUUCAACAUUCAAGUCGGCUGCUGAAUCCGACUCCGUUUGGGAGCGUUUCCUUCCUUCAGAGUACCUCUCUAUUAUAUCAGGUUCUUCUGAUUCUUCUCUCUUGGCCUCUUCUUCCUCCAAGAAAGAUCUCUUUCUCCGUCUCUGCGACGAUCCUAUCCUCAUUGAUGGCGGCAAGAAGAGCUUUUCGCUGCAUAAAUGGAGUGGGAAGAAAUGUUACAUGCUUUCUGCGAGGGACCUCAUGAUUGUGUGGGGUGAUACUCCUAGAUAUUGGAGAUGGACUUCUGAACUCAAAUCCAGAUUUGCAGACGUAGCUGAGCUUAUUGGCGUGUGCUGGCUUGAAAUCCGUGGUAAAAUUAACACUUAUAUGUUAUCCCGAGAAACGCUCUAUGUAGCUUAUCUUGUGUAUAGGACAACAGCAGGAGCCUAUGGUUUUGAACACCAGCCUGUAGAUGUCACAGUGGGACUCGCCGGAACUGAAGGUUGUAGGAGAAGUGUUUAUUUGGAUGAAGAAAGAGAGCGACAGCAGCGAUACCAAAUUGUCGCGAUGCGAGUGGGGUUAUUCCCCCGCAGCCAUGCAGUAGGGUUGCAAGCACCUGCAUCAACUAGGGAGAACAAGAACAAUGGUCAUCAUCGUUCACAUGAAAGAGAAGAUGGGUGGUUGGAGAUGGAACUUGGCGAGUUCUUUAACAGGGAAGGUGAAGAUGGGGAAUUGGAAAUAAGCAUUUCAGAAGUGAAUGGAGGUGAUUGGAAAGGUGGGCUCAUUGUUCAAGGUAUAGAGAUCAGGCCGAAAGAGGACAAAUAUCAAAACAACUAAGCAAGUAAGGGUCUUCAACUCUUCCUUUCCAAAGAAAAAAAUUGUUUAGUCAUGAUUGUAUUUGUAUCUGGUGCAUGGUGAUGUUUGACUUAGGCCUAAUCAUCUUGAAGUUGUC